GACGUAGGAGGCGAGCGUUAUCCGGAUUCACUGGGCGUAAAGCGCAUGUAGGCGGAUGUCCAAGUCGCGUGUUAAAGCCCCUGGCUCAACUGGGGGAGGUCAUGCGAGACUGGGGGUCUUGAGGGCAACAGAGGCACGUGGAACUCCCGGCGUAGCGGUGGAAUGCGUAGAGAUCGGGAAGAACACCCGUGGCGAAGGCGACGUGCUGGGUUGCACCUGACGCUGAGAUGCGAAAGUGUGGGGAGCAAACGGG
rnacentral:rRNA from 1 species